GCAGAAGAGCCGCUGACAUGAGCCAAAAUCUCUCAUCUCGCUUGACAGGCAACUGGACGAGCUCCGGACCUCUCCAUAGGUCAACACAAAGCGGUUGGAUCCUGGAGAAGGAAUGAAGCCUACUCUACAGCUACUGUGGAUCGAUGUCCGCCGUUUUCAACAGCUAUGCACAUAAGAGACGAGUAGAGGUGAAAUAGCAAAUAAUGAGAACAUCUGUCAGAGGCUGAAACUCCCACUUGAUUCGAGCCUGUCGCUUUACUCGGAAAUCGAGAUAGGUAACUCGAAACGGUAAACGUGGUCUGGCAACGUAGACCACAAUUACCGCAAUCGCCUCUUGAUAGGGAUAAUGUGCCACAAAAGGUUACAGUAUUCUGGCGAAGAUGAACCGUCGAAGCGAACGAGUGUGAGUCACACUCUAGAUAAAACUGUGAGUGUACAGCUUCACGAGAUUCGUUAAGAACUGUGCGAGCGUGGGUGGUUAUGGCUUCGAGGGAUUCCCCCG